rnacentral:rRNA from 1 species
AGUGAACGCUGGCGGUAGGCCUAACACAUGCAAGUCGAACGGCAGCACAGUAAGAGCUUGCUCUUACGGGUGGCGAGUGGCGGACGGGUGAGGAAUACAUCGGAAUCUACUUUUUCGUGGGGGAUAACGUAGGGAAACUUACGCUAAUCCCGCAUACGACCUACGGGUGACAGCAGGGGAUUUUCAGACCUUGCGCGAUUGAAUGAGCCGAUGUCGGAUUAGCUAGUUGGCGGGGUAAAGGCCCACCAAGGCGACGAUCCGUAGCUGGUCUGAGAGGAUGAUCAGCCACACUGGAACUGAGACACGGUCCAGACUCCUACGGGAGGCAGCAGUGGGGAAUAUUGGACAAUGGGCGCAAGCCUGAUCCAGCCAUACCGCGUGGGUGAAGAAGGCCUUCGGGUUGUAAAGCCCUUUUGUUGGGAAAGAAAAGCAGCAGGUUAAUACCCCGCUGUUCUGACGGUACCCAAAGAAUAAGCACCGGCUAACUUCGUG